AUAGCGUAUAUUAAAGUUGUUGCAGUUAAAAAGCUCGUAGUUGGAUUUCAAAGAACAUCAAUGGGAAACCAUUGAAUUCUUAUCAGUCUUUGACUGUUACUGUGAGAAAAUUAGAGUGUUUCAAGCAGGCUGUUGCCCGAAUACAUUAGCAUGGAAUAACGAAUGUGUCUAGAAUCUUGGUUAAUUCUAGAUUACGAUUAAUAGGGACAGUUGGGGGCAUUAGUAUUUAAUUGUCAGAGGUGAAAUUCUUGGAUUUGUUAAAGACUAACGUAUG
rnacentral:rRNA from 1 species